AGCAGCCGCGGUAAUUCCAGCUCCAAUAGCGUAUAUUAAAGUUGUUGCAGUUAAAAGCUCGUAGUUGAAUUUCGGGGUUAGUAGGUUGGUCAUGCCUCUGGUAUGUACUGGUCUCACUGAUUCCUCCUUCCUGAUGAACCUUAAUGCCAUUAAUUUGGUGUUUUGGGGAAUUUGGACUGUUACUUUGAAAAAUUGAGUGUUUAAAGCAAGCUAACGCUUGAAUACAUUAGCAUGGAAUAAUGAAAUAGGACGUUCGAUCCUAUUUUGUUGGUUUCUAGGAUUGACGUAAUGAUUAAUAGGGAUAGUUGGGGGCAUUAGUAUUCAAUUGUCAGAGGUGAAAUUCUUGGAUUUAUUGAAGACUAACUACUGCGAAAGCAUUUGCCAAGGAUGUUUUCAUUAAUCAAGAACGAAAGUUAGGGAUCGAAGACGAUCAGAUACCGUCGUAGUCUUAACCAUAAACUAUGCCGACUAGGGAUCGGAUGAUGUUAAUUUUUUAAUGUACUCAUUCGGCGCCUUACGG
rnacentral:misc_RNA from 1 species